CCUACGGGUGGCUGCAGUGGGGAAUAUUGGACAAUGGGGGGAACCCUGAUCCAGCCAUGCCGCGUGUGUGAAGAAGGCCCUCGGGUUGUAAAGCACUUUCAGUGAGGAAGAACGCCUGGUGGUUAAUACCCAUCAGGAAAGACAUCACUCACAGAAGAAGCACCGGCUCAACUCCGUGCCAGCAGCCGCGGUAAUACGGAGGGUGCGAGCGUUAAUCGGAAUUACUGGGCGUAAAGCGCGCGUAGGUGGCUUGAUAAGCCGGUUGUGAAAGCCCCGGGCUCAACCUGGGAACGGCAUCCGGAACUGUCAAGCUAGAGUGCAGGAGAGGAAGGUAGAAUUCCCGGUGUAGCGGUGAAAUGCGUAGAGAUCGGGAGGAAUACCAGUGGCGAAGGCGGCCUUCUGGACUGACACUGACACUGAGGUGCGAAAGCGUGGGUAGCAAACAGGAUUAGAUACCCGGGUAGUC
rnacentral:rRNA from 1 species